rnacentral:rRNA from 1 species
UUUAGCAGAGAUGCUUUAGUGCCUUCGGGAGCCGUGAGACAGGUGCUGCAUGGCUGUCGUCAGCUCGUGUUGUGAAAUGUUGGGUUAAGUCCCGCAACGAGCGCAACCCUUAUCCUUUGUUGUCAGCGGGUUAUGCCGGGAACUCAAAGGAGACUGCCAGUGAUAAACUGGAGGAAGGUGGGGAUGACGUCAAGUCAUCAUGGCCCUUACGAGUAGGGCUACACACGUGCUACAAUGGCGCAUACAAAGAGAAGCGACCUCGCGAGAGCAAGCGGACCUCAUAAAGUGCGUCGUAGUCCGGAUUGGAGUCUGCAACUCGACUCCAUGAAGUCGGAAUCGCUAGUAAUCGUAGAUCAGAAUGCUACGGUGAAUACGUUCCCGGGCCUUGUACACACCGCCCGUCACACCAUGGGAGUGGGUUGCAAAAGAAGUAGGUAGCUUAACCUUCGGGAGGGCGCUUACCACUUUGUGAUUCAUGACUGGGGUGAAGUCGUAACAAGGUAGGCGUAGUGCU